rnacentral:rRNA from 1 species
GACGUAGGGUCCGAGCGUUGUCCGGAGUUACUGGGCGUAAAGGGCGCGUAGGCGGCUUUGUAAGUUAGAGGUGAAAGCCCGGGGCUCAACCCCGGAAUUGCCUUUAAGACUGCAUCGCUUGAAUCCGGGAGAGGUGAGUGGAAUUCCGAGUGUAGAGGUGAAAUUCGUAGAUAUUCGGAAGAACACCAGUGGCGAAGGCGGCUCACUGGACCGGCAUUGACGCUGAGGUGCGAAAGCGUGGGGAGCAAACAGG